rnacentral:lncRNA from 1 species
UCACUGUGAACUUCAGUUUGGGUUUCUUCAUCUUCAAUGUCUAGAUAUUUUACCUCAUGGGUCCGGUGAUUGUAGAUAACUCUCAUCUUCCUAUUGACUUGCUUGAUACUAAUCAUGUAGGAAGGAUUUUCCAUUGAGAAACAAAUUUCAUUCUCCAUGUUGAUGUUGAAAUGAUGGAAAAUCUUUGUCAAGAAAUGUGCAUAUGGCAAAC